rnacentral:lncRNA from 1 species
GCCACUUGGAGAAUAACGUUACCGAAUUUCUUAUUUUUUGGUCAAUACAUUUUCCUUUUUUGCUUCCAGCUGAUAUCAGGUGUUUCCUUUGCUUCUGUUAAUUCCACGUUCAGUUGCUGUACGCUUCAAAUUCUUCAGCUCCUGAGGGUACUAGAAGAGGCACCCAGCCUUUAAGCAGACUGUUUUAGUAGUGCUGCUGUUUGACACUGUUGGUGGUGAACACUGAAAUGACAGCGUCCAAUCUGUCCGCAAAGCAGCCAUAGUCCGUAGGACAGAGCAUCAACACAGCAGCGAUGAGGAAGUUUCCAAAGAAGCUGAGGUGAUCUAAAGCUCAAUGAAAAAACAUUAGUCAUACAUGAAAUGUUUCCUACCUGGCAACUUCAGAAUCAACAGGUUGGAAAUCUAGAAAGCAAGAGCAUGAAGCAAAUGAGCCACUUGUGUUUGUUUCCAAGUAGGGACCUCUUUAUAUCAUUAAUUUAGUCUCAAGCUUCCCAGCAGCCAAUCUCUAGCCAUUUAAUACAGAAGAGUUCAAUGGACAUUUACUCUUUGUGCACAUAUUCACUCUUGCAGUUCUGAGGAAAAUUCACUUGAGGUUCUCCAAGAGAAGACACUGUACCUGGCAGGAUUUCAGAGGACAGCUUGAGCUCCCAGCCUCUCUAGGGAUCACCAACAUACAAAUCAGGUGGCACUGCCUACUGAUGUGCUGCAGCACAGAGAUGUCCUGCUUGGAGGCUUCUUCGGGAUCUCUGCAAGGUACAUUAGUGACUUAUCAAGGAUGACUCCAUUAGGUUGCAAAAUGAGCUGAUAUCCUCAUAACUUGUUUAUUUUUAAAUAAGAAUCUGUGAAUGAUUUAUUCAUUUUUUUUCACAUGAGUAAAGUGUUUGCUUUCAGAAGGAUGAAGUAACUAGAUGUAUUAGCAUACUCCAGAAAGCUGCAAAACAUUCUGGAUGAUUCACGCUAGGAAGACCCCAGAGCAUCACUAAUGCAGGCUUUCCAGGAUGCAAGUUCAAG